UACGAAGGGGGCUAGCGUUGUUCGGAAUUACUGGGCGUAAAGCGCGCGUAGGCGGUGAUCCAUGUCAGAGGUGAAAGCCCGGGGCUCAACUCCGGAAUUGCCUUUGAAACGGGAUCGCUAGAGUCCGAGAGAGGAUGGCGGAAUUCCUAGUGUAGAGGUGAAAUUCGUAGAUAUUAGGAAGAACACCGGUGGCGAAGGCGGCCAUCUGGCUCGGGACUGACGCUCAGGCGCGAAAGCGUGGGGAGCAAACAGG
rnacentral:rRNA from 1 species